CCUACGGGAGGCAGCAGUGGGGAAUAUUGGACAAUGGGCGAAAGCCUGAUCCAGCAAUGCCGCGUGAGUGAUGAAGGCCUUCGGGUCGUAAAGCUCUUUUACCAGGGAUGAUAAUGACAGUACCUGGAGAAUAAGCUCCGGCUAACUCCGUGCCAGCAGCCGCGGUAAUACGGAGGGAGCUAGCGUUGUUCGGAAUUACUGGGCGUAAAGAGUACGUAGGCGGUUAUUCAAGUCAGAGGUGAAAGCCCGGGGCUCAACCCCGGAACUGCCUUUGAAACUAGAUAACUAGAGUCUUGGAGAGGUUAGUGGAAUUCCGAGUGUAGAGGUGAAAUUCGUAGAUAUUCGGAAGAACACCAGUGGCGAAGGCGACUAACUGGACAAGUACUGACGCUGAGGUACGAAAGCGUGGGGAGCAAACAGGAUUAGAUACCCUGGUAGUCCACGCCGUAAACGAUGAUAACUAGUUGUUCGGUCACUUGGUNUACUGAGUGUACGCGAGACUACGACAUUAAGUUAUCCGUCCGUCGGGUAGGUACGGUCGUCGAAGAAGUUAAACGUAACAAAGUAGUAAGUUAGACGGCGUGUAGACGUUGCGACGACGACGACGAGGGAGGAGG
rnacentral:rRNA from 1 species